rnacentral:rRNA from 1 species
UACAGAGGUCCCAAGCGUUGUUCGGAUUCACUGGGCGUAAAGGGUGCGUAGGUGGUGAGGUAAGUCGGAUGUGAAAGCUCGAAGCUCAACUCCGAAAUGGCAUUGGAAACUACCUUGCUCGAGGGUUGGAGGGGGGACUGGAAUACUUGGUGUAGCAGUGAAAUGCGUAGAUAUCAAGUGGAACACCAGUGGCGAAGGCGAGUCCCUGGACAACUCCUGACACUGAGGCACGAAAGCUAGGGGAGCAAACAGG